GUGCUGGUAGGUGGAAGGGUCUCCAGCGCUGGCCUGGGUUAGAGGCAGGCCUUCGGUGGCCGGGUCGAUCCAGCUGUGGGAACUGGGGCAGUGCAUCCUUUCUCUCCCACUCAGCCCUCUGCAGCAGCCUCAGGUGCUUGAGCAAGAGUAGCGGAGACUGUCAGUGGGGGCGCAUGUCAGAUCACAGGGUGGGGGAGACCCCACUUCAAUAAAGGCAGGACCCAAGGCUGGGCUGUUGCGUGAGUGAUACUGCUUGUAUUUCAAUCCCCAAGGCCCUUUCUCCUCCAGGACUGUGGUCUGUGGCAUCUAAGAUCUGGGGUUUUGGGAGUCUAAGUGUAGAUGGCACGAGAUUGACCUUCCCCAGUUAAGUCCCUUCUGUUUGGUCUCCAGCUAGGGGAUCGAGCUGGAGUUUAUUUUCCGGGGAGGGGGGGCUUCUGCCCCCACCAGAGUCCCCAGCGCAUGCUUUUGGCUUCCUCUCCCCACUCUUGGUCCCUGUCUUUAUCUACACUCACCCCUUGGAGGUCUCAUCCAUCUGCCGAGAUCGCCUGGAUUGACACCUCCCGCCCACCCCCAGCUGUUGCUGUGUGGCAGGGGAAGUGGCAGACUUCUCAGCCCCAAACGCAGCUCUUCUCUGCUGCCCCUGCCUCCGAGAUUCUCCUUGGGUUCCCUCUCUGUCAGUGAGGAGCAAUGGGUGGCGACCCCCCCACCUUCCACAUGCUCAGGCCCAAACCCCAGAGUCAACCCUGUCUCUAUUCUCACGUCCCAUGUGGAAGCCACCAGGAAACCCACUGGACCCUCUUUCAAGAUAGAUCCAGAAUCUGACCACGACUCCCGGCCUUUGCAGCCAUCGUCCGGGCCAGGAUCCCAGCAGCAGCCCCCUCCCUGGGGUCCCAGCCUCUGCCUUCACCCCUCCACCUCACUCUACAGUGGUGGUGGGUGUUCAAUGACCAGGGUCAUGUCCAGCCCUGUGUGUUUCUGCCAGUCUCCACCGGCCAGUGGAUGGGGGGACUCAGCGACUGCCCUGGAUGGCCUGCCUGCACCCCGGAAGUGCCCCGGAGUGUCCCAGCCAGUCCCUCAGCUCCGCGUGGAUGGAUGACCAUCUGCAGAUUUCAGGCCAGUGGUGCUCCCCAGCUCGGCUGUCCCGCAGGUCCUGCUGGACACCAGCCGCCCAGG
rnacentral:lncRNA from 1 species